rnacentral:rRNA from 1 species
GUUGACCUCGGAUCAGGUAGGGAUACCCGCUGAACUUAAGCAUAUCAAUAAGCGGAGGAAAAGAAACCAACAGGGAUUGCCCUAGUAACGGCGAGUGAAGCGGCAACAGCUCAAAUUUGAAAUCUGGCGCAAGCCCGAGUUGUAAUUUGUAGAGGAUGCUUCUGGGCAGCGGCCGGUCUAAGUCCCUUGGAACAGGGCGUCAUAGAGGGUGAGAAUCCCGUAUGCGACCGGCUGGCACCCGUCACGUAGCUCCUUCGACGAGUCGAGUUGUUUGGGAAUGCAGCUCUAAAUGGGAGGUAAAUUCCUUCUAAAGCUAAAUACCGGCCAGUGACCGAUAGCGCACAAGUAGAGUGAUCGAAAGAUGAAAAGCACUUUGGAAAGAGAGUUAAAAAGCACGUGAAAUUGUUGAAAGGGAAGCGCAUGCAACCAGACUUGCGGGCGGUGUUCCGCCGGUCUUCUGACCGGUCUACUCGCCGCUCGCAGGCCAGCAUCAUCUGGGUGCGCCGGAUAAAGGCGUGGGGAAUGUGGCCCCUCGGGGUGUUAUAGCUCCACGCACAAUACGGCGCCGCCCGGGUGAGGUCCGCGCUUCGGCUAGGAUGCUGGCGUAAUGGUUGCCUGCGACCCGUCUUGAAACACGGACCAAGGAGUCUAACAUCUAUGCGAGUGUUCGGGUGUCAAACCCCUACGCGGAAUGAAAGUGAACGGAGGUGGGAAGCUUCGGCUGCACCAUCGACCGAUCCUGAUGUCCUCGGAUGGAUUUGAGUAAGAGCAUAGCUGUUGGGACCCGAAAGAUGGUGAACUAUGCCUGAAUAGGGUGAAGCCAGAGGAAACUCUGGUGGAGGCUCGCAGCGGUUCUGACGUGCAAAUCGAUCGUCAAAUUUGGGUAUAGGGGCGAAAGACUAAUCGAACCAUCUAGUAGCUGGUUCCUGCCG